rnacentral:rRNA from 1 species
UACGUAGGGAGCGAGCGUUGUCCGGAUUCAUUGGGCGUAAAGCGCUUUAAGGCGGUUCGCUAAGUCACGUGUGAAAACUCCAGGCUCAACCUGGAGACGCCACGUGAUACUGGCGUGACUAGAGUUCGGUAGGGGAUCACGGAAUUCCUGGUGUAGCGGUGAAAUGCGCAGAUAUCAGGAGGAAUACCGAUGGCGAAGGCAGGUCUCUGGGCUGACACUGACGCUCAUGCACGAAAGCGUGGGGAGCAAACAGG